AUGUGCCCUUCGGGGGAAAGAUUUAUCGCCUUUAGAGCGGCCCGCGUCUGAUUAGCUAGUUGGUGAGGUAAAGGCUCACCAAGGCGACGAUCAGUAGCUGGUCUGAGAGGAUGAUCAGCCACAUUGGGACUGAGACACGGCCCAAACUCCUACGGGAGGCAGCAGUGGGGAAUCUUGCGCAAUGGGCGAAAGCCUGACGCAGCCAUGCCGCGUGAAUGAUGAAGGUCUUAGGAUUGUAAAAUUCUUUCACCGGGGACGAUAAUGACGGUACCCGGAGAAGAAGCCCCGGCUAACUUCGUGCCAGCAGCCGCGGUAAUACGAAGGGGGCUAGCGUUGCUCGGAAUUACUGGGCGUAAAGGGAGCGUAGGCGGACAUUUAAGUCAGGGGUGAAAUCCCGGGGCUCAACCUCGGAAUUGCCUUUGAUACUGGGUGUCUUGAGUAUGAGAGAGGUGUGUGGAACUCCGAGUGUAGAGGUGAAAUUCGUAGAUAUUCGGAAGAACACCAGUGGCGAAGGCGACACACUGGCUCAUUACUGACGCUGAGGCUCGAGAGCGUGGGGAGCAAACAGGAUUAGAUACCCUGGUAGUCCACGCCGUAAACGAUGAUUGCUAGUUGUCGGGAUGCAUGCAUUUCGGUGACGCAGCUAACGCAUUAAGCAAUCCGCCUGGGGAGUACGGUCGCAAGAUUAAAACUCAAAG
rnacentral:rRNA from 1 species